rnacentral:rRNA from 1 species
GACGAACGCUGGCGGCGUGCUUAACACAUGCAAGUCGAACGGUAAGGCUCCAGCUUGCUGGGGUACACGAGUGGCGAACGGGUGAGUAACACGUGGGUGACCUGCCCUGCACUUCGGGAUAAGCCUGGGAAACUGGGUCUAAUACCGGAUAGGACCAUGGUGUGGAUACUGUGGUGGAAAGUUUUUUCGGUGUGGGAUGGGCCCGCGGCCUAUCAGCUUGUUGGUGGGGUAAUGGCCUACCAAGGCGGCGACGGGUAGCCGGCCUGAGAGGGUGGACGGCCACAUUGGGACUGAGACACGGCCCAGACUCCUACGGGAGGCAGCAGUGGGGAAUAUUGCACAAUGGGCGGAAGCCUGAUGCAGCGACGCCGCGUGGGGGAUGACGGCCUUCGGGUUGUAAACUCCUUUCACCAUCGACGAAGGGUUUCUGACGGUAGAUGGAGAAGAAGCACCGGUUAACUACGUG